AACGAACGCUGGCGGCAUGCCUAACACAUGCAAGUCGAACGAGACCUUCGGGUCUAGUGGCGCACGGGUGCGUAACGCGUGGGAACCUGCCCUUAGGUUCGGAAUAACUCCCCGACAGGGGUGCUAAUACCGGAUAAUGUCUUCGGACCAAAGAUUUAUCGCCUUUGGAUGGGCCCGCGUUGGUUUAGCUAGUUGGUAGGGUAAAAGCCUACCAAGGCUACGAUCCAUAGCUGGUCUGAGAGGAUGGUCAGCCACACUGGGACUGAGACACGGCCCAGACUCCUACGGGAGGCAGCAGUGGGGAAUAUUGGACAAUGGGCGAAAGCCUGAUCCAGCAAUGCCGCGUGAGUGAUGAAGGCCUUAGGGUUGUAAAGCUCUUUUACCCGGGAUGAUAAUGACAGUACCGGGAGAAUAAGCUCCGGCUAACUCCGUG
rnacentral:rRNA from 1 species